AUUGAACGCUGGCGGCAGGCUUAACACAUGCAAGUCGAGCGGAGAUGAGGUGCUUGCACCUUAUCUUAGCGGCGGACGGGUGAGUAAUGCUUAGGAAUCUGCCUAUUAGUGGGGGACAACAUUCCGAAAGGAAUGCUAAUACCGCAUACGUCCUACGGGAGAAAGCAGGGGACCUUCGGGCCUUGCGCUAAUAGAUGAGCCUAAGUCGGAUUAGCUAGUUGGUGGGGUAAAGGCCUACCAAGGCGACGAUCUGUAGCGGGUCUGAGAGGAUGAUCCGCCACACUGGGACUGAGACACGGCCCAGACUCCUACGGGAGGCAGCAGUGGGGAAUAUUGGACAAUGGGCGGAAGCCUGAUCCAGCCAUGCCGCGUGUGUGAAGAAGGCCUUUUGGUUGUAAAGCACUUUCGGCCGGGAAGAAUCGCACGGGCUAAUACCCUGUGUGGAUGACGGUACCGGAAUAAGAAGCACCGGCUAACUACGUGCCAGCAGCCGCGGUAACAC
rnacentral:rRNA from 1 species